UACGGGGGGGGCAAGCGUUGUUCGGAGUUACUGGGCGUAAAGGGUUUGUAGGUGGCUUGUUAAGUCAGACGUGAAAUCCCUCAGCUUAACUGGGGAACUGCGUCUGAUACUGGCGAGCUUGAGUGCAGGAGAGGAACGCGGAAUUCCAGGUGUAGUGGUGGAAUGCGUAGAGAUCCGGAGGAACACCAGCGGCGAAGGCGGCAUCCUGGACUGGUCCUGACACUCAUGAGCGAAAGCGUGGGGAGCGAUCCGG
rnacentral:rRNA from 1 species